AGUUACAUAGUUACAUAGCUGAAAAGAGACUUGUGUCCAUCAAGUUCAGCCUUCCUCACAUAUGUUUUUGCUGUUGAUCCAAAAGAAGGCAAAAAAACCUAGUCUGAAGCGCUUCCAAUUUUGCCACAAACUAGGAAAAAAUUCCUUCUUGAUGUCUCCUUGGAUCAAGCAGCUAUUACCCCACUAAUUAGAAAUUAUAUCCCUGUAUGUUAUGUUUUUGUAAGUAUUUAUCUAAUUGCAGUUUAAACCUCUGUAGUGACUCUGACAAAACC